rnacentral:pre_miRNA from 1 species
GCUGUGGGGAAUGCCGUCUGGUUCGAGGCCAACCCGAAGCACAAUAUCAUCGAUUCAUCGGAAUGAUCUCGGACCAGGCUUCAUUCCCCCCAGC